rnacentral:rRNA from 1 species
AUUGAACGCUGGCGGCAGGCCUAACACAUGCACGUCGCACGAGUGGCGGACGGGUGAGUAAUGUCCGGGAAACUGCCUGAUGGCGGGGGAUAACUCCUGGAAACGGUAGCUAAUACCGCAUACCAUCAGAUGUGCCCAGAUGGGAUUGGCUCGUUGGUGGGGUAACGGCUCACCAAGGCGACGAUCCCUAGCUGGUCUGAGAGGAUGCCCAGCCACACUGGAACUGAGACACGGUCCAGAGUCCUACGGGAGGCAGCAGUGGGGAAUAUUGCACAAUGGGAGCAAGCCUGAUGCAGCCAUGCCGCGUGUAUGAAGAAGGCCUUCGGGUUGUAAAGUACUUUCAGCGGGGAGGCGUUACCCGCAGAAGAAGCACCGGCUAACUCCGUGCCAGCAGCCGCGGUAAUAC